CUCAGUGGUUAAGACACAGCACUGCUUUAACUCUCACAUGGAGACCUGUUCGAUUGCAGCAUGCCCUGAGAUCAAUUCAAUACUUGCUGUAGGAGCCCAGGCUAGGAUCACCCAGAAAGUCUGAGGCAGUGGCAGGAACUGAACUGAGAUAUUUUCAGUCUCAGUAAAGGACACUCACUAGAAGACACGCCAUUCCACUCCAAUUAUCUCUUCUAUCGUAUCCCUUGAAGCCAGGCUCCAAGGUACACAAGUGAAAACCUGACAGCUGGAAUGCAAAGCCUCAGCUGAGACCGAAAGCUUUUACUAGAUCACAUUCUGCACAUUUAUAUUGUCUGGGGUAUUAGCACUGGAAACAAAAAUAAAGAUUUCCUAAUCUCACCAGAGACAACACCUUGCUGCCCCACCUUUGAGAAAUCUCCAGUCCACAGCAAAGACUUAAUCCAUC